rnacentral:tRNA from 1 species
GGAGAGGUGGCUGAGUGGACUAAAGCGGCCGACUCGAAAUCGGCUGUGCCUUUAUGGCACCGCAGGUUCAAAUCCUGCCCUCUCCG